AACGAACGCUGGCGGCAUGCCUAACACAUGCAAGUCGAACGAGACCUUCGGUUCUAGUGUCGCACGUGUGGGUAACGCGUGGGAACCUGCCCUUAGGGUCGGAAUAACGCCCCGAAAGGGGUGCUAAUACCGGGUAAUGUUGGCGGACCAAAGAUUUAUCGGCUUUGGAUGGGCCCGCGUUGGAUUAGCUAGUUGGUAGGGUGAAAGCGUACCAAGGCGACGAUCCAUAGCUGGUCUGAGAGGAUGAUAAGCCACACUGGGACUGAGACACGGCCCAGACUCAUACGGGAGGAAGGAGUGGGGAAUAGUGGAAACGGGGCGACAGGAUGAUCCAGCGAUGCCGGGUGAGUGAUGAAGGCCGUAGGGUUGUAAAGCUCUUUUAGCCGGUAUGAUAAUGACCGUACCGGGAGAAUGAGCCCCGGCUAACUCCGUG
rnacentral:rRNA from 1 species